AGGCAGCAGUGGGGAAUCUUGCACAAUGGGGGAAACCCUGAUGCAGCGACGCCGCGUGAGCGAUGAAGCCUUUCGGGGUGUAAAGCUCUUACGCCAGGGACGAAAGAUGACGGUACCUGGAGAAGCAGCUGCGGCUAACUACGUGCCAGCAGCCGCGGUAAUACGUAGGCAGCAAGCGUUGUUCGGAAUUACUGGGCGUAAAGGGUGCGUAGGCGGUGCUCUAAGUUUGGUGUGAAAUCUCCCGGCUCAACUGGGAGGGUGCGCCGAAAACUGGAGUGCUGGAGUGCGGGAGAGGAAAGCGGAAUUCCUGGUGUAGCGGUGAAAUGCGUAGAGAUCAGGAGGAACACCUGCGGUGUAGACGGCUUUCUGGACCGUAACUGACGCUGAGGCACGAAAGCGUGGGGAGCAACCAGGAUUAGAUACCCUGGUAG
rnacentral:rRNA from 1 species